CGAGAGGGAGCCGCGGCGUGGGGGUCAAAAUGUCACGAGAAAACAGCAUCGCUGCAGUUCGGAUACAGCGACRGCGUCUGCACAGGGUCUAUUUCAACUGGAAACUGGAUUAAAUUUACGUUUGGAGCUUUGACUUUCUAUGGAUUUAUCAAGGAAACAGUUUUGGCCCUAACCAGCAGAGUCAGACGACAGCUCCUCUGAACUGAACUGUCCAAGGAGGCGUCCUUUCCUGCACUGGACUGGACGGRCAGAGAAAGACAAGAAAAUAAAAGCUCCUUUCUCAGAAAAAAAACAACUAAACUAAACAUAAGAAUAACUGUUUGAGCCAAGUUCAAUAUUUGUAACGAUAACAGGGUGAAGAAGAGUCCAAGSAAAGUGUUUAAAGGUCGGCGGAGGUGAUGAGGUUUCAGGGUGGGACAGAGGAGACAGAGAGCACGAAUCAGAGUGGGGUUAAAGAUGAAAGAGGGAGAUGAUUAGCUGAUUAAAGCCCUAAUGUUCCGUCRAACUUCUGCUGUAAUUCCACAUACUUGAAAAAUAAAUGUAGGUUUAAACAAAAAGCACAAACCAAACGUGCUCAUUCAGAAACGCGUCGACGCUUCUUCCCCGGUUCGGCUGUGAAACGCCAAAGAAAAAGAUGCAAAUGUAAAUAUUUGCGUGGAACCACGCCCCAGGAACGCUCAAAACUGAGCCAAAAAUUCUGCAAUGACCUCGAGUCUUUCCUUCCUUUUUCACUCACAGGAAGUAGCUGACAGGAUUUCUAACCCCUCACGUCAAACCCCGUCUCACCCGUCUCAUCUAUUCUUCCUCAGGUUCACCGAGUCCACAGCAGCACCCCCUCCUGCAGCCACCGACAGCGACACCCGACUUAUCCAGGCUAAAGCACCACAGCAGCCCGUUUUACAACAGUUUACAUCACGAGAUGUCUCCUAACGAGAAAAAAUAAAUAAAGCAUUCGGUCCAGCUGAGCUCAGUUAACCUGCUGCUUACAGGAAUCCUCGGCCCAGACAUGCCUGGAGAAGAUCGAGGCAGUAAAUCACAAAGACGCUGCAGUCAACGAGGACAUUUUGAACAUUAUUUUAGAUUUUAAAAAAUAAGGCAGCAGCCGAUAUUUAAGUUCAACCUGAAAAUACAAACUAAAAACUGUUGGGUUAAAAACUAUUUGGAUCGAGCCAGGCCUGAGGGGUUCUCGCUCCGCGGGUUAAGGUUAUCAGUUUGACCCAAAACCCACUGCGUUCAGUUUUUUAUGUGGAAUUCUUUACAAAAAUCAACAAAAAUAUAUUGGUAAUAUUGAUAAUUUAAACCUUAUUGGCGCUAGCUAGCUGUCGCUAACAAACUUCUUCCAAUGUGAGGAACAACGAAGCUCAUCUAUGAUCCAACCAUUGGAGUUACCAAAAAGACCCGGCAGUUUUCAGUGUGUGCAGUUUUACCGUCAUCCUAGUUUUACUCUAGUUCACACAGUCAGCCCUGAUCCGUUCACUCAGACGGUGCGAAUGUUUGACCAGUUUCCAAGGUUUCCUCCAUCGUACAGAGUUGUCGAUUUGUCUCUAAUUAUUCAGUCCUCUGAGUAAAACGCUGUUGCCAAGGAACUGAAAUGCUAAACGGUGGUUAAAUAAGAUCCUGUGCCUGGUACUGGUGACCCACAUUGUGCCAGAUGCCAAGUUGUUUUUCUCAGAAAUCGAAAGAACUUAAAAAAAAACUAGAAAAGAUGAACUUUUACACCCCAAAUAGAACAGAAACCUUGUUUUUUUCAAAAUAAAACAAAAUGUUAAGAACUGAAAAUGUUAACCUCUAUGUGUGUGUGUGUGUGUGCUGAUGUUUUUACUGCGAGGGAACAGACUUUAUAAACAUAUAAAGCUCGGCCUGGUGCACUAAUAAAGCUCUAACAGCUCCUGUAGUCAGGUAAAACUCCACCUGUGUCUCGGUCAGCCUGUCAGAGCCCGGAUCCUGCUUUAACCUGAGAGGCUGAUUCAGGAUGCCCCGCCCACCGCUCCCCUCUCUGAACCGUCGUUCAGCAAAACGAUCUAAGUGAAUCAACUCGGAGCACCGUGGCAUUGUGGGGAAAAAAGGUCAGAAUCACGACAAACGAGAGGACAGGGCAGCAACACAGACACGCCAGGAGGGAAGAAUCCUCUAAUCGAUUAAAAAAUAAAGAACAAAAGACUGUAGUGAGCAUUACUGAUAGGAAGCUGAGAUUUAUUUCUGUCUCGUCUGCUUCGUUUGUCCUUAAAACUAUUAAACGUGUCUCAGAAGGGUCCAACUGAAAACAAGAGUGUUUUUUUUUUGUGCCUCUGGUAAUCUUUAUCUGUGUUAAACGUCCACCGUGAGGAUUUAUUAUUAUUUUUUGCAUGCCUGCUCUGCUUUGUGUUGCGUGUUUACCUCUCUGUACGAAGACAGAACCUUCAAAAUAAAGGAAGUGAAAUAAAAGUGAUUGACCGAGUGUCUA